GGAAAGACUAUGGUGGAGUUAAGAUAAAAACUUUCAAGGACUGUCUCCGUGUGACCAUCGCAAACUACAAGGAAAACGACGGUGUUGCCAUAGGAAUUAUAGGCAAAACAGAGGCUCUGGCUCUAGACAUAUCGAAGAACAAGUGGAUGGAAAUUGAAUGCCAAGUUUCAAGCAAAGAAGAGGGUGAAUGACAGGAAGAGAUGUCCAACACUGCAGAGAGGAAUUCUGUUGAAAGAGCUUACGACUAAGGAUGCCGAAGUUCUUGCUGACUGUCCUCAAGGAUUGCCAAAUACAGAGCUCACCUCAGACACCUCGAUCGACUUCCCUCGCUGGAGUUCCACGAGGGAACAUUUCGCCGUUAUUCCAGAAGAGAACCUGACUGUUAGUUUGUCCAUAUUUGGAGAAAACCUUUUCCUUUGUUGGGAUGGAAAACAGACGGCAGUCAAGACGAGCAAGGAAGACUGUCAAGCCUUGUCAGCUCACGAGGUACACAAGAUCACACUGGAUUACGAGUCGCAGUAGAUCAAGAGUGCUGAUGACCGCAUUCUGAGAAGUGAAUAGCACUCAUGCAAAUAAAGAUGACUUGAUGAAGAUGAAGUCUGACGGAGGCAAGGCCUGGGUUGUGCAGUCUGGGAGAUUGGCCUCACCUCCAGGACCAAGACCAGA